UUAACACCGAUGGUCUUGGCUUUGUGGGUUCUUUCCCUCUCCCCUGUAUCUAUUCUAUGUCUUAAGCAUGCUCAUAUUAGUGGUGACAAACGAAUUAAAUUGGACGAGUUCAGAUUAAUUUAGGUUACAGGUUUUUCGAGUCUUUUUUCUUGGAUGUGUCCAGACUAAUUUGAUUUUUGGGUCAAAAUUAGCUGCCUAGUUCUUAUUGCAUACUUUCUCAUGUGGGUUUCUUGUGUUCUGUGGAUUUCAGGCCUUCCCCAUAGGUUCUCCUCUG
rnacentral:misc_RNA from 1 species